rnacentral:misc_RNA from 1 species
AAGUCGUAACAAGGUAACCGUAGGUGAACCUGCGGUUGGAUCAUUACAAAUUUCUUUCAUUGCUCUUUUCGCAUUGCGCGAUCUGAGCAAAUGAAGAAACUAAAUGUGCACCUGUACUUGUACGUUGGCGGCUGUUCAGUGCUUUGUGCUGAACUUGCAUUAAAUUGCAAAGGCCGUCAAUAGUGUUUUUCACAAAAACGCUUUAAGAUUUUUCCAGCAACUUUUAUUUUUUAUUGUUUAUUACUUUUUCUCUUGAAAACCAAGAACAACUAUUAACAAUGGAUCUCUUGGCUCUC